CAUGUACGGACAUGCACAGUGCCCGCGCCUGGUUCAAAAUAGUGACCGACUAUCAGUUAAGUCUGCAGGAUUAGCACGUUUUACUUUCUGUUAUGUGAGCAUUAAGGUUAGAAUUUAGAUGUUUCUUUACUGUGCAGCAAGUUUAUUAUUUGUUAACACGCCCGGCUUUGUGUAUUUUACCGUUUAUGUUUGUUUAUUGCUGGGAUAACUUUACACCUUUGCUGAUAACGUAUUACACUUAUACAAUGCAGUUCCUGCGGAUCACCACAAAGACUCUGCAAGCAAAGUUCCUGGCCCAGCUGGACCACUUCUCAGAGAAACUUCCAAAUUUUCGAGAGCAAAGGAGGAGUAAAGGGACAGAAGAUAAAAAGCAUCCUGGCAAUCAAAGAUGAGUGUGACAACAUCAAUAUCAGGAGGGAGUGUGUCCUCAGAAGCCUGAUCAUAUACCUCAAUAAGGAUCCAGACUCUGUCUUCAAGGAAUACCUGCCAUCUGCUGUUGAGGAUGCCGAGAAUGACAUUGUCUCUACAGUUAUGGGCAUUCACACAGUCUGAAGCCAUGAGUUUGGGGAGCCAGAUGACGUGUGGAUCAUCAUUGAAGUCCUCACCAAUGUAGGAAGUGCCAUAAGGGCUUUCAUCUCACUCUUUGGGCUAAUUUAUGCGCUGGUUCUUAGUUUUCCAGAGAACCUGAAAAACACUUUUGAGUUUGUCCAAAAAAUCCUGAUGAAUCUGGAUGCACACCGGCUAAACACCAAAAUACAGCAACUGAAAAUCAAGCUGUUCAUGUAAAAGAUGAACAGGUGAAAAGUAACACUUGGACUGGGGACUUGUUUUUGUUUUGUCUGAACUGAGCUUUGAUUCAUAGAUAGCAGAGCACUGUACUGUUAUAGCUCCUACCUGAUGUUUUGCUUCCUGGAGCAGAUGUCUUAAGCCUGUGGAAUUUUGGAGUUGCAUUUGUAAAAUGGGCAGUAUUAUCCAAACAUGUUUAUGCACUUUUGUUGUUGAGUUUUACAGAGUGUACAGUACUUAAAAAAAAAAAAAAGGAAGGAUGUGUUAUGUAUUUAAUUGAGCCAAUUGUGAUAUUUACUACCCAGCGACUUCUUGUUCUGUGAAUGGUUCAAAGCGCCCACCUCUGUAGUAUUACUGUUUGCAACUGUGGGACAUUAAGGAGAGUUGGGUUUGGUAAGAUUUGAAAAUGUGGCUCCAUGUGGCUGCCAAAAAGUGUGUUUUAAUGUAACUUCCUGUAUGUAACUACCAUAUGUGUUUUAAGGUGCUGAAGUUUCAUAAGGAAUGUUAUUGACCUUACAGAUUACAUUUUAAGGUUUCUGAAAUCUGUAAACUGCAUUUUUUAUCUGUUGAGAUUCA